GGACCGGGGGAAUCGACUGUCUAAUUAAAACAAAGCAUUGCGAUGGCCGCUGGUCGGUGUUGACGCAAUGUGAUUUCUGCCCAGUGCUCUGAAUGUCAACGUGAAGAGAUUCAUCAAAGCG
rnacentral:ncRNA from 1 species